AGGCUGAUCCAUGCAGGUGUAUAAAGACAGGUGUUGAGGUGGUGAGACAGACGAGAAAGACUUGCAAGAAGAAAGAAGUUCACUUCUUUGUCUUGCAUCUGCUUGCUUUCCCUGCUCUUCGAAGAGGCGUUUCUUCCUGAUACAGCGAAACAACCAAAUCUUGAGGAUGAAUACGUCAGCAGCAUCACCAGUGGAAGGCACCAGGCCUACUCCCCCCGACUUCAACCAGAAGGAGAGCAGACAGUUCAAAAGCAAGGCUCCAAAACCUGGUCAGAAAAGCUUAAGCCUGUCAGGGAUGGACAGCUUUGAGGACUCGUCUGUGAUCUGCCCCUGGGAGGACUUUGGGGAUGCCGAGCUGAACAAGCUGGCUCAGUAUGGCAUCAUCUAAGCGGGCCGUCUCGGCCAUGUAUUCAUGAGAUUUCACCAAGCUUCUAGACUUCCCCCUCUGUGGGGGAUGAGGAGCACGCCCAGGCCCGGAGAAGAGCUCCGAUCACGUGGGAGCAGCUCCCGCUGUGGACCAGAACUCCGUGGCCCCAAACUCCGUGGCCCAAACCCCAACAUACUCUUGCUGUUAUUUUCUUUAAUUAAAUUAUAAAUUAAAA